rnacentral:rRNA from 1 species
AUUGAACGCUGGCGGCAGGCUUAACACAUGCAAGUCGAGCGAGCGGCGGACGGGUGAGUAAUGUCUGGGAAACUGCCUGAUGGAGGGGGUUAAUUACUGGAAACGGUAGUUAAUACCGCUUACCAUCAGAUGUGCCCAGAUGGGAUUAGCUAGUAGGGGGGGUAAUGGCUCACCUAGGCGACGAUCCCUAGCUGGUCUGAGAGGAUGACCGGCCACACGGGAACGAAGAGACGUUCCGAACUCCUACGGGAGGCAGCAGUGGGGAAUAUGGCAAAAUGGGGGCAAGCCUGAUGCAGACAGGCCGCGUGUGGGAAGAAGGCCUUCGGGUGGUAAAGCACUUUCAGCGAGGAGGCGUUACUCGCAGAGGAAGCACCGGCUAACUCCGUGCCAGCAGCCGCGGUAAUAC